rnacentral:tRNA from 1 species
UGCCCCGUCGUUCAAUUGGCAGGACACGUGACUCUGGAUCAUGCGAUUAAGGUUCAAGUCCUUACGGGGCAG